AGAGCGAACGCUGGCGGCAGGCUUAACACAUGCAAGUCGAGCGGGCGUAGCAAUACGUCAGCGGCAGACGGGUGAGUAACGCGUGGGAACAUACCUUUUGGUUCGGAACAACACAGGGAAACUUGUGCUAAUACCGGAUAAGCCCUUACGGGGAAAGAUUUAUCGCCAAAGGAUCGGCCCGCGUCUGAUUAGCUAGUUGGUGGGGUAACGGCCCACCAAGGCGACGAUCAGUAGCUGGUCUGAGAGGAUGAUCAGCCUCACUGGGACUGAGACACGGCCCAGACUCCUACGGGAGGCAGCAGUGGGGAAUAUUGGACAAUGGGCGCAAGCCUGAUCCAGCCAUGCCGCGUGGAUGAUGAAGGCCCUAGGGUUGUAAAGUCCUUUCGGCGGGGAAGAUAAUGACGGUACCGCAGAAGAAGCCCCGGCUAACUUCGCGCCAGCAGCCGC
rnacentral:rRNA from 1 species